rnacentral:rRNA from 1 species
AGCUCCAGUAGCGUAUAUUAAAGUUGUUGCAGUUAAAAAGCUCGUAGUUGGAUUUCUGACUAACCGCGCACGGUCCGGCUCCCACAGGGUGCUGUGUACUGUCGUGUGUUUGUCAUCCUUCCGAAGAGCUAACAGCCUACCGCCUUCGCGCGGACAGGGCUUAGCGAUUCGGUUCGUUUACUUUGAAAAAAUUAGAGUGUUCCAAGCAGGCUUAUGCUUUGAAUACAUUAGCAUGGAAUAAUAAGAUAGGACUUCUGUUCUAUUUUGUUGGUCUCCAGAACUGAAGUAAUGAUUGAUAGGGAUAGUUGGGGGUGCUAGUAUUCAGCGGCCAGAGGUGAAAUUCUUGGAUUCGCUGAAGACUAACUACUGCGAAAGCAUUCACCAAGGAUGUCUUCUUUAA